rnacentral:lncRNA from 1 species
AUGGCUCCUCUUUUCAAGGUUGCUUUAUCUGCUGUCCCAUACUGUCCCUCCAGGGAAAGCGGAAUGCCGCCCACCGCAGACGACAAAAGCCGCCUUCCUCUGGGAGUCUCCCCACGUGAGAAACAACCACUGACUGUAUUUCUCUUCUGUGCUACCAAUAACGAUGUUCUCAGCCUACCGCUUCCUGCUCCUAGGGCAGUGAGGAACAGAGAUUUAAUGAAAGAAUCACCUUCAGUGUGGACUACGUACAACGUCUCAGAGACACCGCCAUACUUCAGUCAGCCCAAGAAUAUUGCACAACAGAUUUUGAUUUGGCUGUUUCUGCCAAAAGUUUAAAAAUUUGCAUUCAAUGUAAAAGAUCGAAUGACAAUGGAAUAGCUAACUAUUACUUGAUAUUUCUAUAUUAUUUCCAUGUUGUAGCCUUAACAGAAACUUAGUAUUAAAAAUGUGAAAAGCACUUUGAGUUCUUUCCCUCUUGAUUUUCCUAUGAAAUUAUUUUGGAAGAUUGCCAAGCACGUGUUCAACACAUGUUUUAUACUGGAAAUGUUUUGCCAUAAUCAACAACUGAUUGAAUAAUCACGAUAAUUUAAGCGUUCUUUUGUUCAUAUGCUUCAAUGUUUUGUUCAUUUGCUUGAAAUAUGUGCUUUGUUUUUAGCUAAAAUCAGAUUCAUAUGUGUUGAAAAAUAAAGAGCCAUGUAUUUC